UACAAUCGUUGUAAAAAGUGUGGCUAAUAAGAAGUAGAAGAUUAAUGAGAGAAGAGAAAGUACUUCACAUUCGGAAUGUGAAUCAAAUGUAGAUCCUUCCGAAAGCAGAUUGUACUUACUUCCUCAUAUGAACUACCAAAGAAAUUGGAAAAACCAAAGAUCGUCUUUACAUUCCAAUUUUAAGGAACUUAAUUCCGUCACUAUGAGAGAUGGAUGAAUGUUGUGUUU
rnacentral:lncRNA from 1 species